rnacentral:rRNA from 1 species
AUUGAACGCUGGCGGCAGGCCUAACACAUGCAAGUCGAGCGAGCGGCGGACGGGUGAGUACUGUCUGGGAAACUGCCUGAUGGAGUUGGAUUCCUCCUGGAAACGGUAGCUAAUACCGCAUACCAUCGGAUGUGCCUCGCUGGGAUUAGCUAGUCGGUGGGGUAAAGGCUCACCUAGCCGACGAUCCCUAGCUGGUCUGCGAGGAUGACCAGCCACACUGGAACUGAGACACGGUCCAGACUCCUACGGGAGGCAGCAGUGGGGAAUAUUGGACAAUGGGCGCAAGCCUGAUGCAGCCAUGCCGCGUGUAUGAAGAAGGCCUUCGGGUUGUAAAGUACUUUCAGCGGGGAGGCGGUACCCGCAGAAGAAGCACCGGCUAACUCCGUGCCAGCAGCCGCGGUAAUUC